rnacentral:rRNA from 1 species
UACAGAGGUCUCAAGCGUUGUUCGGAUUCAUUGGGCGUAAAGGGUGCGUAGGUGGCGCUGUAAGUCGGGUGUGAAAUUUCGGAGCUUAACUCCGAAACUGCAUUCGAUACUGCGGUGCUUGAGGACUGGAGAGGAGACCGGAAUUCAUGGUGUAGCAGUGAAAUGCGUAGAGAUCAUGAGGAAGACCAGUGGCGAAGGCGGGUCUCUGGACAGUUCCUGACACUGAGGCACGAAGGCCAGGGGAGCAAACGGG